ensembl:snRNA U1 U1 spliceosomal RNA
AUACUUACCUGGCAGCGGAAACACCAUGAUCACGCAGGUGGUUUUCCCAGGGCGAGGCUCCUCCAUUGCACUUGGGAGGUGCUGACCCUUGCGAUCUCCCUAAAUGCGGGAGUCUCGGCUGCAUAAUUUGUGGUAGCGGUGACUGCGUUCGCGCUCUCCCCGG